GCCUACGGCCAUGCCACCCUGAACAUGCUCGAUUUCAUCUGAUCUCGGAAGCUAAGCAGGGUCGGGCCUGGUUACUACUUGGAUAGGAGACCACCUAGGAACACCAGGUGCUGUAGGUG
rnacentral:rRNA from 1 species